GCAAUUGUUAUUAAUUAUAAACAAAUGCACCACUGUGGUUGAGAAUGUGUAGUGUGGGAAGUUGUGCAUGUGUGGGGACUCUGUGUUCCGUAUGAUUCAAUAAUUCUACUUCUGUGUGUAUCUUCAAAAGAAUUUAAACUAAGCAAUCAAAUAGAUAUUUACACACCCAUGUUCAUGGCAGCAUUAUUCACAAUAACCAAGAGGUGGAAAUAAUUCAAGUGUCCCUCAACAGGUAUUGGAUAAACAAAAUAGAGUAUAUCCAUACAAUGAAAUACUAUUCAGCCUUAAAAGGAAAAGUAAUUCUGAUGCAUACUACAACCUGGCUGAACUUUGAGGAUGUUAUGAUAAGUAAAAUAAGCAAGACACAAAAAGACAAUUACUGCAGGAUGCCUCUUCCAUGAACUACCCAGAGCUGUCAAGUUCAGAGACAGAAGCACUUUUCCUGUCCAAGUCAAAACUGGUUCUCUUCCACAUCCAAAGUGUGUGGGGACGACCAAGAGACACUGGCUCAUCACCCGGCUCCUAGAGAAACACAAUGGAGGUGUGUGAUGUGACCUUCUAUUCAAUAAUAUAAGCAAAAAUCCAGCUUGAUUUAUUGUUAUUGUGGUAAAAUAUACAUAGCAUAAAAUUUAACAUUUUAACCAUUUAAAAAUACGUAGUUCAGUGACAUUAGUGUAUUCUCACUGAUGUACAGCCAUCACCACCAGCCAUCUCCAGAACUUUUUCAUCAGCCCUGUGAUGAGACUCUGUCCCCAUGAGGUAAUAAGUCCCCAUUUCUCUCAGUGCCCCCAGCCCCUGGUCCAGUUUUAUUUUUAAUUUGUGGCCUGGGUAAAUGAACAUGCAGACCUGGGAGACUUAUAAGGUACAUGAUCUUGCUCUCCCUUGCUUCUCUUUUUGAACAUAAUCCUUUAUAAUAGACCUGAAAUUGUGUGUAUUAGAUUUCCCACCCUAUAUAGUAGAGCAGGAAGCCAGGCUUAGCAAGCUAACAUCCCUCCUUUUAACUGUGUAUAGUUUUCUUCCCUGGCUUUUCCUUCUUUCCUGGGCAAAUUAUCUAUCUGCUAAGACUCUGAGAACUGAGGCACAUUUCCUGGCCUCUGUUGUUGGCUCAGGCACUUGCCUGGAAUUUCUGGGAUGCCAGCCCCCUGCACGUAUCUUGGAGGUGCUUAUACCGAUGGGUUACACCAAGGAAGCAGACGCCGUUCCUAUAGGGGUUUCAGCACUGGGAGGUGAGAUCUCUGGCUGCGAAGGGUUCUUAGCUUGAGUUCCAAGUUUGACUCUCCUAACAGCUGUUCAACUUUGAGAUGACUUAGUCCUUCUGGAUCUCAGCUUCCUCAUUUAAAGGAGCCUCAGUUUCCUCAAUGUGCAAUGAGGAUGAUGACAUAUCUGAUAUUUCCACUUGGCAUCUCCAAUUCGACGGAAUGAAAUGGCGCUCUUGAUUCUUCCUGCCAGAUUGAUUUCUUCGGCAGCCCUCUUCGGCGUGAUCCCACAUCAUCCAUCUGAUAGUUUAUGAUGGAAACCUGGGGACAGCUCUUCAUUUCCUUCCCUGCUCAUCAGGAAGCCCUAAUGAUUGCACAUCUGACUCCCAUUUUUGACUCACACUGCACUGCUCUCCAAUUUCCCAGCCACCACUAAGGACUAUGGGAGCAACCUCCCAACUUGUUUACUUGCUUCCGUUCUUGGUUCUUCUCCAACCCAUCGUUAAUCAUCAGAAUCCGGAUAAGAACACUUCUAUAGUGUUCUCUACGCUGGCCACUGUUCUAAGUGCAUUAUGUGUAUUACCUCAUUUAAUCCAUAUACUAGAAGUAGAUGAGUCCCUACUUAAAAUGAAUCUAGGCUUCCUAUUUUAAGAAUCACGUUCUACCUCCCUAUCUCGCUCUGCCAGAUUCUGAGUGUUGUGUUCUGGCUUCCAGAUGUCUUCAUCAGGUCUAUGUGUGCAGCAGGUCUUCUACAACGACUGACUGAAAAGGCCAAGGUCAAGGGCAAUGCCUACUAAGUACUAAGAGAAUUAAGAAGCCAUCUUUAUUUCCUGUAGCUCUCUUCUUGUGGUCCUGCCUUAGUACAUUUUUUUUUUUUUAAGUCUUCACUAUGGAAAAUUUUUAACAAAUGUAAAAGUAGCCAGAAUAAUAAAAUUAAUGCCUGUGGAUAUGUCCCCCAGAGCCAACAGCCAUCACAUCAUGGCCAAGUUUAUUCCAUCUAUGUGCCCAUCCAUCCCCCAUCCUAAAUUAUUUCAAGGCAAAGCCCAGACAUUAUAUCAUUUCUUCUGUAAAUAUUUUAGUAUGCAUUCCUAAAAGAUAAGAUCUUUUUUACUAUGCCAUACCCAAAAUACCAUUAUCAUACCUAAAAUUAUUUAAAAAGCCACUCCUUAAUGUUGUCAGUUGUUAUAUAUAUCCUAUUAUCAAUUAUUAUAUGCCAGUUAUUAUCUCAUCCUUAGAAUACAUACUUUUAUAGUUUAUAUCUGAAUUUAUUCCAAUAAAGUCCACACAUUUUCA